UGGCCUUGACAUAGUAAGAACUUUUUAGAGAUAAAUUGGUGCUAGUUUACUAGAACUUACAUAC
rnacentral:rRNA from 1 species